AUGGCUCGUUCUACAUGGUUAGUCAUCCAAAUAGCUUCUGGCUUGUACCCUUCUUGUAAUGUUGCUAAUAUAUUUGGCAACUGGUUACAUGGGAUUGAACACAAGUUUAGAACUCUUCUCAGGGCGGGAGCGCUCGCCGUUAUUUGGUCGCUUUGGCUGUGUAGAAAUGAUAAGGUUUUUAACGGGAAAAUCACAUCUCUUAUGCAGGUUAUCUACAGAUGUACCGGGACGCUUCGUUUAUGGUCGUCUCUACAACGUAUGGAGAAUCACAACCUGUUUAUGGAGUUCUGUACACGAUUGGAGGCUACGACGAGGGAUACUUUUAUCCAACCUGGGUAA
rnacentral:rRNA from 1 species